CCUACGGGAGGCAGCAGUGAGGAAUAUUGGUCAAUGGACGAGAGCCUGAACCAGCCAAGUAGCGUGAAGGAUGACUGCCCUAUGGGUUGUAAACUUCUUUUAUAUGGGAAUAAAAUGUUGCACGUGUGGGAUUUUGUAUGUACCAUAUGAAUAAGGAUCGGCUAACGCCGGGCCAGCAGCCGCGGUAAUACGGAGGAUCCGAGCGUUAUCCGGAUUUAUUGGGUUUAAAGGGAGCGUAGGUGGAUUGUUAAGUCAGUUGUGAAAGUUUGCGGCUCAACCGUAAAAUUGCGGUUGAAACUGGCAGUCUUGAGUACAGUAGAGGUGGGCGGAAUUCGUGGUGUAGCGGUGAAAUGCUUAGAUAUCACGAAGAACUCCGAUUGCGAAGGCAGCUCACUGGACUGCCACUGACACUGAGGCUCGAAAGUGUGGGUAUCAAACAGGAUUAGAUACCCCAGUAGUC
rnacentral:rRNA from 1 species